UACGAGAGGCCCAAACGUUAUUCGGAAUUACUGGGCUUAAAGAGUUCGUAGGCGGCAUGACAAGUAGGGUGUGAAAGCCCUCGGCUCAACCGAGGAAUUGCGCUCUAAACUGUCGUGCUUGAGGAACCUAGAGGUGAGCAGAACAGAUGGUGGAGCGGUGAAAUGCGUUGAUAUCAUCUGGAAUACCGGAGGCGAAGGCGGCUCACUGGGAGUUUUCUGA
rnacentral:rRNA from 1 species